CCUGAUCCAUACUCUUCAGAUUCAGAUUGCCGCCGGUAUCCCUCCGAUUCUCCCUCUUCUUGUCUCCUCCCAUACCCACCAGAUCCAUAAGAGUCUGAUUCCUUUCUCCCACCAUACCCACCAGAUCCAUAAGAAUCUGAUUCCUGUCUCCCCCCAUAUCCACCAGAUCCAUACUCUUGCGAUCCGUAAGACUCUGACUCCUGUUUCCUCCUAUACCCACCAGAUCCAUACUCUCCAGAUCCGUAAGACUCCGAUUCCUGUUUCCUCCCAUACCCACCAGAUCCGUACUCCUGUUCUCCAUACUCCGGUUUACGGCGAUAUCCUUCAGACCCAUACUCCGAUCCACUGGGCUGGAAGCCAUAAGCCGGCUGUGGCCUGGAAGAUCCAUAUCCUUGUUCCCCAGAGGGAGCUCCAUAGGAAUGGGGCUUUGGACGGGAGUAGCUGCUGU
rnacentral:lncRNA from 1 species